rnacentral:rRNA from 1 species
GACGAACCGUGCGAACGUUGUUCGGAAUCACUGGGCGUAAAGGGCGCGUAGGCGGACCACCCAGUCCGGGGUGAAAUCUUUCGGCUUAACCGGAAAAGGGCCUUGGAUACUGGUGGUCUCGAGGAAGGUAGGGGCAUGCGGAACUUCCGGUGGAGCGGUGAAAUGCGUUGAUAUCGGAAGGAACGCCGGUGGCGAAAGCGGCGUGCUGGACCUUUGCUGACGCUGAGGCGCGAAAGCCAGGGGAGCGAACGGG